UAGCACCUAAAAUAGGAACAGAUUUACCCUCCUUCUUCGCGACCGGAGAAGAUCGGCCUUCAAUUAACAGAAAAAUGCCAGUUCCGAGCAGCAGAAACCCUAAAAUCUAAAGUCUCGCCGGAAUUGAGUCGAGGACGUGGAAAACCAACCCAAAACGUCCGAGUAGUGAAGAUGCAACCAGUUAUCGGUGAUCAAGGUCUUAGAUCAACACCCGAUUUUGAUCGAAAUCAUCACUGACCAAAUAUCUCAGAAACACCCGAAAAUUUUCCAACGCGAUUUCGACUAGGAUAACAAAAUACAGCAGAGUACCGUCGGAUCCUCGUCCUGCUCUGAUACCAUGAAAACAUUGAGGAAUCGAGAUGAAGAUUGAAGAAGAAGAUGAAGAUGAGUCGGUUUCAUAGAAGCUUC
rnacentral:lncRNA from 1 species